GGGGAUAUAACUCAGUUGGUAGAGUGCUUGCCUCACAUGCACAACGCCCUGGGUUCAAUCCCCAGUACCAUUA
rfam:Ictidomys tridecemlineatus contig118472, whole genome shotgun sequence.